rnacentral:rRNA from 1 species
UACGUAGGGGGCAAGCGUUGUCCGGAUUUAUUGGGCGUAAAGAGCGUGUAGGCGGCCUGAAAGGUCAGCUGUGAAAACUCGAGGCUCAACCUCGAGACGUCGGUUGAAACCAUCUGACUAGAGUCCGGAAGAGGAGAGUGGAAUCCCUGGUGUAGCGGUGAAAUGCGCAGAUAUCAGGAAGAACACCCGUGGCUAAGGCGGCUCUCUAGUACGGUACUGACGCUGAGACGCGAAAGCGUGGGGAGCGAACAGG